AUUUUCCGGUCGCGCGAGAUUUUUUUUGGUUACCGGAACCGGUAGUAUUCUUGCGGCAGUAUUUAAGCCGAAAGCAGUGGCCAUUUCGUUCCAGUCUGGUUUUGUCUUCAAAAUCAGACACAAAAGGAUAAUCAGAGCCCUUUGUUUGUUCAAGGAUCGGAUAUCAGUUAAUUCUUUGGAUUUAUAUCAGUGCUUUUCUAUCGUCUUCAUGGAGUUCCAGCGUGUUGAGCAUAGGGAUAAUGUGGGCGUGGCAGGCUUGAUGUCGAUGUUGUUGACUAAAGAACUUGCUGAAGGUUUUUGUAAGGUGCUACAGAGACAGUAUUUCAAUUGAUAAUUUCCAACAACAAACAAAUCCAUUAUGUGCUUACCCAUCAAAUACAAAACAGAUAGGGUACACCCAAACAAUGUUCAUCUUCAAACAAUCAUGCAUGAUCCUCACAAGCUUUGGAUACUGACGUACAUUUGCAAACGCACUCAGACUGAUGACAUCAAGAAAUCUAUAUUUGUUAUUUACAUUAUAU